rnacentral:rRNA from 1 species
AAAAACAUGUCUUAUUGAAAAUAAUUUUAAGUCAAAUCUGCCCAAUGAAAAUUUAAUGGCUGCAGUAUCAAUAACUGUACAAAGGUAGCAUAAUAAUUAGUUUUUUAAUUGAAAACUAGAAUGAAAGAUUAAAUGAAAUAUAAACUAUAUAAAUAAAAAAAAAAUUUAAAUUUAAUUUUAAGUUAAAAUUCUUAAAUAUUUUUAAAAGACGAGAAGACCCUAUAGAAUUUUAUAUUAAUUAUAAUUAAAAUUAUUUUAAUUAUAAGAUAAAUUAUUAAUUAAUAUUUAAUUGGGGUAAUUUUAUAAUUUAAAAAACUUUUAAAUAAAAUUUACAUAAAUUAAUGAACAUAUAAUCCUAAAUUUUAGUAUUUUAAAAUAAAUUACCUUA